CGUAUAUUAAAGUUGUUGCAGUUAAAAAGCUCGUAGUUGAACUUCGGGAUCAAUGGAUUGGUCAUGCCGUUGGUAUGUACUGGUCAUAUUGGUUCUCACCUUCUAAGGAACCUUAAUGUCAUUAAUUUGAUGUUNUGGNGAAUUAGGACCG
rnacentral:rRNA from 1 species